UCGAUAGAAUUCCAAAACCGUUUCGGAGUGUGAGGAUUCGUCCGACUAUGUUGGUUCGUCUACUUCACGGAUUGGUUCUUCUUCCAAGCGGGAUCAUAUGCAAGAUGAUCAUUUCCCUGGACACCACUACUAUCAUUGUGGUGCUAGUUGUCUCGCUUCUAUCAUUAUGUCUCGCUACCUUCCACCUAUUAUGUCAAGCCUCCCAAACAUUGUCAUGAAAAGCCUCUAACCCCCUCCAUGUCCCAACAAACCUUCUUUGGCUAUGUUAUUGCUUGCUCAACCCUUCUUAUAGCGUUCCUAGUUGCAGGUGUAAGUUGUGUCCCAUGUGACAACAUGAAUUCC
rnacentral:lncRNA from 1 species